rnacentral:rRNA from 1 species
ACGGGAGGCAGCAGUGAGGAAUAUUGGUCAAUGGGCGGAAGCCUGAACCAGCCAAGUCGCGUGAAGGAUGAAGGUAUUAUGUAUUGUAAACUUCUUUAGCAGCAGAGUAAUAAGGGAGUCGUGACUCCUGAUGCAAGUAUGCUGAAAAUAAGGAUCGGCUAACUCCGUGCCAGCAGCCGCGGUAAUACGGAGGAUCCGAGCGUUAUCCGGAAUUAUUGGGUUUAAAGGGUGCGCAGGCGGUCGAUUAAGUCAGUGGUCAAAUCACGGUGCUCAACGCCGUUCCGCCAUUGAUACUGGUUGACUUGAUUCCGGUCGAGGCAGGCGGAAUUCGUAGUGUAGCGGUGAAAUGCAUAGAUAUUACGAAGAACUCCGAUUGCGUAGGCAGCUUACCAGGCCGGCAAUGACGCUCAUGCACGAAAGUGCGGGGAUCGAACAGGAUUAGAUACCCUGGUA